UCAUUUCCUUUUGACUAUCAUACACCCUCUCUUUUUGUUAAGAGCUUCGAUUACCCAUUUUACAUCAGUUUCCACAAUGAUUUUAUUAACUCCGGAUUCUUUGGUGAGAUUUAGACCCUAUCCCCCCCCCCAGUUUUGCCAUUACGCUGGCUCCAUCCGAGUUUAAAAUCCAGCAGUCCCGAGAUGGCCUCUUCCAUUUGACCCAUCUUGGCUCCUUGGUGAUUCUCUCCCGUAUACCAUCAUCCUCGAUCUCCUCUUCAUCAUCCGAUUCGAAGUUUUCUUCUUCAAUUCUUGCAGAACUAUGAAACAUUCCGAUAAAGAUAGGUGAGUCUGCCACUGUGUCUCUCCAAGUUCUAGUCCAUGUACUCUCCUCGGUCGCUUCUUCUCUUGCUGACUGACGAGCCCGUUUAUUUCUAUUGCCUGCUGCUGUCAUAGUUUCUCCCACCUGGGUCACCUCUGUGACCGGCAGGUUAGCCUCUUGCA